AACGAACGCUGGCGGCAGGCUUAACACAUGCAAGUCGAGCGCAUCCUUCGGGGUGAGCGGCGGACGGGUGAGUAACGCGUGGGAACGUGCCCUCUUCUACGGAAUAGCCUCGGGAAACUGAGAGUAAUGCCGUAUACGCUCGCAAGGGGAAAGAUUUAUCGGAGGAGGAUCGGCCCGCGUUGGAUUAGGUAGUUGGUGGGGUAACGGCCUACCAAGCCGACGAUCCAUAGCUGGUUUGAGAGGAUGAUCAGCCACACUGGGACUGAGACACGGCCCAGACUCCUACGGGAGGCAGCAGUGGGGAAUCUUGGACAAUGGGGGCAACCCUGAUCCAGCCAUGCCGCGUGAUCGAUGAAGGCCUUAGGGUUGUAAAGAUCUUUCAGCUGGGAAGAUAAUGACGGUACCAGCAGAAGAAGCCCCGGCUAACUCCGUG
rnacentral:rRNA from 1 species